UACGUAGGCACCAAGCGUUGUCCGGAUUUAUUGGGCGUAAAGAGCUCGUAGGCGGUUCAGUAAGUCGGGUGUGAAAACUUUGGGCUUAACCCAAAGCGUGCAUCCGAUACUGCUGUGACUUGAGUUCGGUAGGGGAGUGGGGAAUUCCUAGUGUAGCGGUGAAAUGCGCAGAUAUUAGGAGGAACACCGGUGGCGAAGGCGCCACUCUGGGCCGAAACUGACGCUGAGGAGCGAAAGCAUGGGUAGCAAACAGGG
rnacentral:rRNA from 1 species